rnacentral:rRNA from 1 species
UACCUGCGGAAGGAUCAUUG